GGAAAAUACAUAAACAUAUAAAUGACAGCUCCACUCUACACUUUAUCUCUGGGUUUCACACAUUUGUUUUCCUUUGCAAAUAUGAGGAAAAUUCAGAAUUUUAGUGAGAAAAAUUAUUGAUGGAAAAUAUUGCUUCCAUUUUUGGGCCUUUAGAAGAAUCCUAAAGUACCUAUUUUUCAAACCAUAAUGAGAGAAUUCCAAAUGCAAACUAAAGCAACCAUGCAGGCCUCUAGAGAGAAAGGGGAAUAUUAUUAUGUAUAGUCUAUCAUCAUUAUCAUCACCAAAUAGUCUUUGUUAAAGUCUUCAGGAUCACAAGGCAGUGGAGUGGUUAAAUUGGCAUUUCUGUCUCUUCCCAAGAGCUUGUAGUUUAAAUAGAAACAGAGCAGCAAAGACAAACACAUACAAGGUCAGGCUGACACCAACACUAAACAUUAACAUACUAAUUAAAAUAGAAUACAUCUCAUUACAGUUCAAUAAGAAUGGGAGGCAGGAAGAUGUAAUAUGAAAAAGUGCUAAAUUAGAGAGUCAAAAGACUUUGCAGCAUGCUGGGUGUACUGCUUUGAGCAAGUCACUCCUAAGGUUAAAACACUUGGUAAGACUUGGAGGAGGUAGUUUGGAAUAGUGAACCAAAGACAGAAUCUGGAGUCAGGAAACCACUCAACUUCUGUAACCAUGAAACUGAGGUUUAGGAAAGGCAACUGCUAGCUCAUCCAUUAUUUGAUUGGAAGACGGGGAACACCCGACAAAAUUAAGAGCAGAGAGAAAUAUUAAUGAAUGGAAUUACAAGAAGUUGACCUCAGGGAAAUCGGAAGGUACACAUCCAGAUGGCUGGUUCCUGCCUUAACUGAUGACAUUCCACCACAAAGAAGUGAAAAUGGCCUGUUCCUGCCUUAACUGAUGACACUGUCUUGUGAAAUUCCUUCUCCUGGCUCAUCCUGGCUCAAAAGCUCCCCUGCUGAGCACCUUGUGACCCCCACUCCAGCCCUCCAGAGAACAACCCCCUUUGACUGUAAUUUUCCUUUAUCCACCCAAAUCCUAUAAAAUGGCCCCACCCUUAUCUCCCUUCGCUGACUCUCUUUUCGGACUCAGCCCGCCUGC
rnacentral:lncRNA from 1 species